GACGAACGCUGGCGGCGUGCUUAACACAUGCAAGUCGAACGGAAAGGCCCUGCUUUUGUGGGGUGCUCGAGUGGCGAACGGGUGAGUAACACGUGAGUAACCUGCCCUUGACUUUGGGAUAACUUCAGGAAACUGGGGCUAAUACCGGAUAGGAGCUCCUGCUGCAUGGUGGGGGUUGGAAAGUUUCGGCGGUUGGGGAUGGACUCGCGGCUUAUCAGCUUGUUGGUGGGGUAGUGGCUUACCAAGGCUUUGACGGGUAGCCGGCCUGAGAGGGUGACCGGCCACAUUGGGACUGAGAUACGGCCCAGACUCCUACGGGAGGCAGCAGUGGGGAAUAUUGCACAAUGGGCGGAAGCCUGAUGCAGCAACGCCGCGUGCGGGAUGACGGCCUUCGGGUUGUAAACCGCUUUCGCCUGUGACGAAGCGUGAGUGACGGUAAUGGGUAAAGAAGCACCGGCUAACUACGUGCCAGCAGCCGCGGUGAUACGUAGGGUGCGAGCGUUGUCCGGAUUUAUUGGGCGUAAAGGGCUCGUAGGUGGUUGAUCGCGUCGGAAGUGUAAUCUUGGGGCUUAACCCUGAGCGUGCUUUCGAUACGGGUUGACUUGAGGAAGUUAGGGAGAAUGGAAUCCCUGGUGGAGCGGCGGAAUGCGCAGAUAUCAGGAGGAACACCAGUGGCGAAGGCGGUUCUCUGGGCCUUUCCUGACGCUGAGGAGCGAAAGCGUGGGGAGCGAACAGGCUUAGAUACCCUGGUAGUCCACGCUGUAAACGGUGGGUACUAGGUGUGGGGUCCAUUCCACGGGUUCCGUGCCGUAGCUAACGCUUUAAGUACCCCGCCUGGGGAGUACGGCCGCAAGGCUAAAACUCAAAGGAAUUGACGGGGCCCCGCACAAGCGGCGGAGCAUGCGGAUUAAUUCGAUGCAACGCGUAGAACCUUACCUGGGUUUGACAUGGAUCGGGAGUGCUCAGAGAUGGGUGUGCCUCUUUUGGGGUCGGUUCACAGGUGGUGCAUGGCUGUCGUCAGCUCGUGUCGUGAGAUGUUGGGUUAAGUCCCGCAACGAGCGCAACCCUUGUUCACUGUUGCCAGCACGUUAUGGUGGGGACUCAGUGGAGACCGCCGGGGUCAACUCGGAGGAAGGUGGGGAUGACGUCAAGUCAUCAUGCCCCUUAUGUCCAGGGCUUCACGCAUGCUACAAUGGCUGGUACAGAGAGUGGCGAGCCUGUGAGGGUGAGCGAAUCUCGGAAAGCCGGUCUCAGUUCGGAUUGGGGUCUGCAACUCGACCUCAUGAAGUCGGAGUCGCUAGUAAUCGCAGAUCAGCAACGCUGCGGUGAAUACGUUCCCGGG
rnacentral:rRNA from 1 species